GGAGAGGUGCCAGAGUGGACGAAUGGGGCGGUCUCGAAAACCGCUGUGGUGUAAACCACCCAGGGUUCGAAUCCCUGCCUCUCCGCCA
rnacentral:tRNA from 1 species